rnacentral:rRNA from 1 species
UCCACGCCCUAAACGAUGAACACUAGUCGUCGGGAUGUUGGGUUAAGUCCCGCAACGAGCGCAACCCUCGUCCUUAGUUGCCAGCAGGUUAAGCUGGGCACUUUAAGGAGACUGCCUUCGUAAGGAGGAGGAAGGUGAGGACGACGUCAAGUCAUCAUGGCCCUUAUGGCUAGGGCUACACACGUGCUACAAUGGGGCGUACAGAGAGUUGCGAUACCGCGAGGUGGAGCCAAUCUCAUAAAGCGUCUCUCAGUUCGGAUAGCAGUCUGCAACUCGACUGCUUGAAGCUGGAAUCACUAGUAAUCGUAGAUCAGCAAUGCUACGGUGAAUACGUUCCCGGGUUUG